rnacentral:rRNA from 1 species
AGCGGCGGACGGGUGAGUAACGCGUGGGCAACCUGCCUCAUACAGGGGGAUAACAGUUGGAAACGGCUGCUAAUACCGCAUAAGCGCACAGUACCGCAUGGUACGGUGUGAAAAACUCCGGUGGUAUGAGAUGGACCCGCGUCUGAUUAGGUAGUUGGUGGGGUAACGGCCUACCAAGCCGACGAUCAGUAGCCGACCUGAGAGGGUGACCGGCCACAUUGGGACUGAGACACGGCCCAA